rnacentral:rRNA from 1 species
AUGUCUUUCUCCGCCUCCUUCCAGCCGACGCUCAGCGGCGGAGUCACGGAGAAGUUCUCCCGCACCAACUACGUUCUGUGGCGGAUACAGAGCACGCCGCAGCUGCGGGGCGCCGACGUCUUCCAUUAUGUCGACGACACGGCAACCGAACCGGCCAAAGUCCUCUCCACCAAGGACGCCGUCGGUAAGGAGACCACUGGACUGAAUCCCCUUCAUCCGCUCUGGGUGAAGGAGGACCAGCAGGUCCUUGGAUACCUGCUCCAAAACCUCUCCAAGGAGGAGCUCGUCACGGUGACCACGAUCACCACGGCGCGCGAUCUCUGGGUGGCACUGGCGAGCAUGUUCUCGUCGCAGUCACUCAGCCGCGUCAAAAAACAUUCGCACAAUGCUGAUCAAUGCGCAGAAGGGAAACCAAUCGGUGGCAUCCUUCUUCGCCGCCAUGAGGGGUCUCGCCGAUGA